GAGGGUAUAGCUCAGUGAUAAAGCACAUGCCCAGCACUCACAAGGUCCUGGGUUCAAUCCCCAGUACCUCCA
rnacentral:tRNA from 1 species